rnacentral:lncRNA from 1 species
AUGCACGUGGCCACGGCACGCCCAGGAUGCAAACCCAGCGUCCUCAACUUCAGAGCCCAGCGCUUCGCUGUCACACGCUUGGCGUCUCAGCUUUUUUCCUCACUCGCAAAGGGAAAUAGCACGGCCCUCGUCUCCUGUGAGGACAGCACAGGACGCGGCCUGACCCCUUCCAGUCUGAAGGAAGAAAGGAGAAACGCAAGGCAGCGUGGACAGGAGGCAAGCCUGGGCUGUGGGACCCCGGGGCAGGACUGCAGCCUUCUGGGCCCCUCCGGCUCCCUACGCCUCCUCGUGGUUCAGAGCCAACUCUGCAAAACCAAUGGCUGCUGCUGCCCGCAGCCUUCUUUCUACGGCAUCAAGUCGAGAAACCACCACUACCACCACCAUGCCAAGACCUUGAAGAAAAGCAUCCUGUGGGCAUCCACCGCAAUGAGGCCUGCCAGGACUCCAGGUCUAUCUCCCUGA